rnacentral:SRP_RNA from 2 species
GCCGGGCGUAGUUGCGCGCAUCUGUAAUCCCAGCUACUCGGAGGCUGAGGCAGGAGAAUUGCUUGAACCUGGGAGGCGGAGGGUGCAGUGAGCCGAGAUGGUGCCACUGCACUCCAGCCUGGGUGACAGAGCAAGACUCUGCCUCAC